rnacentral:rRNA from 1 species
UACGUAGGGGGCGAGCGUUGUCCGGAUUCAUUGGGCGUAAAGCGCUUUAAGGCGGUUCGCUAAGUCGCGUGUGAAACCUCCAGGCUCAACCUGGAGACGCCACGCGAUACUGGCGUGACUAGAGUUCGGUAGGGGAUCACGGAAUUCCUGGUGUAGCGGUGAAAUGCGCAGAUAUCGGGAGGAACACCAAUGGCGAAGGCAGCUCGCUGGGACGUGACUGACGCUGAGACGCGAAAGCGUGGGGAGCAAACAGG